UAAAUGGAAGGAGGCAGAGGCUAGAAUUUUCCAGAAGGUAGACUCACUGGGAGAGAAUAUUUCAGAGAAUGCAGCUUUCAUCCAGGAUGUUUUCUCCAUCCUUGGACCAGAGAAAGAGAAAGUUUUUAGAGGGCUGAUAGAUGCUAGUCCCUGUCUAACUGGCCUACUUUAAGAAUGUCCAAGGGAUGCCCUGUCAGGCACUGCCUAUCAACAUAUUCCCAGCACAGCUCUGUGGAUGCCAAUAGGAGGUUAGUACCUCCCCUGGGUGGAUGCUGACCCCUGACAAGCCCAGCCUGCCUUGUCUGGAGCUCUGAGACCUGUGAGCAGGGGCCAGAAAGCAGAAUAGAAAAAUCAAAGGGAGACAGACCAGCACUGUCAUUUGGGAAGGGCACCCGGAAUAGGAUUCUUGCUGCUACAAGUCAGGGAAAAUCUAGACAUCCCUAAUGGAAAGGGUUGAGAGUUGUAUCACACAGGGGUGCUAGCUGGUUUUGUGACAUGAGUUUUGUGACAUGUGUUCCUUUCAGUGACUACUGUUUCCCAGCCAGUGUGUCACAUGUCACACAGAAUUAGAGAAGUUUUCAUUUAUUUCCUAAAAGCUUGCUGAAUCAAGAAGAUGAGCUUUUAUGGCCUUGUCUUGGCCAGCUUGAAAAUGAAGGAUAUUCGGUCCCCUGGAUGAAUGUCUCAUGGAAUCUGAAUCCAUGAGUCAGUAGGUCGAAAAAAAAGCCGGAUUCCCUAAAAACAAUGUUCCCUGAAUCCAUCUGAGGAUGCUUACCUGGAAACCCCCAAAUAAAGGAUGGACACACCCUGCUUUCUCACUACUAUUACCACACUGCUUUUCCCCUGGACACUGGACUUAGCAGCAGUUCAAGUGCAUUGUGGUCCUGGCUCAGAAUCAUUUGUAAUUCUACAGAAGGUAGAAAGCUGCCACCUCUAAUCUUUCAGGACUUUCAGGAAGUAGAUGACAAGUCUGGGGUGCAGGACCAUCAAUCUGCAGCCGUUCUUAGAUAGCCAGAGACUAGAGUUGGACACAUGCUCAUCAUAGCUAUGUUCCCACCAUAGCAAGAGGCAGGGAGGGAGCAGCAAUAGGGUCCCCAAGUCUUUGUCCCUUCUUCUCCAUUUCACCUCAGAGUCUGUUUGAGCCAGCCAUGGUGGCAUACACCUGCAGUCCCAGUCCAUGGGAGGCAGAGGCAGGAAGAAUGUGUAAAGUUAGAGGACAGCCUGGGCUACACGGUGAGUGCCGGGUCAGCUUGAGGUACAGUGUGAGAUCUUGUCUCCUAAACAAAACAAUGAGAAUAGUAAAAUUCUACUUCCUGCUUCCUGAAGCAGCCUGAGGUCUAGUCAGUGUUCACAGGCCACCACAUUGUUCUUCCCCGAGAAGACUGGUCUUAGAGAAAGGACUCUCUCAGCCUCUGGUACAAGUUCACAGAGACGGGGGGGGGGGGGCUCUGGGGAAUCCUUAGGGACCCCUGCAGUGACUUCUCACCGGCAGUCUGAUUUCUCUUCCACAAAUUCAGAAAGAAGUUAGUUGUCCAAGGCAAAGCCAUGGCGAUGCUCACAGAAGCCAUUCCGACUCUGAAGGUCUGGUCCUGCCAGGUGUGGGCAAGCUGUGGUCUGUGGGUACAGGUCACUAACUUAAGCUUAUUCUCAAAGCACAGAUGCAAAUGGCUGGGAUUCGAGCCCUAGAAGCUGGGUGUCUCUGAAGCACAGGUAAAGACUGUUCCAAUCAGUAGCUUCUUGCCUCUUCUUCCAGAAUGUUCCAGUCAGAUGUCAAUCAUGCAUCUUAAUUUCCCACUGUACCUCAUUUAUAUUCUUUUGGGGUUUUGUUUAUUUAUUUUUUCUUCAUUUAGUGUUAGUUGGUGAUUUUCUGCUAUUAAGUGGUGAGACAGCAGGUUAGUGAAAUAAAAAACAUAUCUUUAUAUCAAAUGUAAAUAUUAAUAUAAAUGAACUUGGCAUGCAACUUAAGUGAUCCAACGAAACGAUAUUAUUAACAUGUUAUCUUAUUGUAUAAAGGGAAAAUGGUUGCCAUAUAUGUACCAGAUGUUUUCUGUAACUAAACUUGUCUGUAAAUAUAUAAUCUUAU
rnacentral:lncRNA from 1 species